rnacentral:tRNA from 1 species
GCAUUCUUAGCUCAACUUGGAUAGAGCGUUGGCCUUCUAAGCCGCAGGUUUUAGGUUCGAUUCCUAAAGAAUGUU